UCGUUUCCCUGAGGAGGUGGGCGUGGUACGCAGCCCUACAGCUGCACACCUGCAGGCAAUCAUCUGCUGGUGCGUUUAAGGAGCGUGCGGGACGAGCAUUCUUCGCCUGAUGGCACACGUAGAGUGGUCUCCGUGAGCUGCAACUCUGGACCUUUCAACCACAAACCCUCUGACAGCUAAACCUUGGACACAGUUUCCGGAUCGACCUCGCAAGAGCUACCUGCCUGCCCGCUCUCUAGUAAGACCGCUCCGCCAAAACACGCCGUCGGAUUACUCGGACCUUUGAUAACACACUCACACGGACUGUGCACAGCCCCAAGCCACCACCUAGGAUUUUCCGGUGAGCCGUGCAACAAGAAAUAAGUUGGGAACGUUGCUGACUUUCCUUUUCAUUCACAGAACCUGGUCGCUGAGUUCCGCUUGCCAGAUCCAGCCUUAUUGUGUUUAAAAAAAAACACCAAUUCGGUCUUACCUGUCCGCCUCUGAUUGUUUCUGCAUGUGGGUCAGGAAACUCUCGAGUAGUAUGUCAGGCAUGACGUUAAACAGGAGGUUCAUGCUCUAAAUCAUGGGUUAAAACAAUUCUGCAAACAAGAGUGGUUUGAAAUUCAACAGCAUUAUGAAAAGGCUCUUUGCCAGUUAUUGCAAACAACGUAUUAGGUUUUUGGGAUUUAAUAAAUGAAAUCAUUUAAAACUGCUUUUUUGUAUUUACUCGGGAUAUCUUUGAUAUUAAAUUUUGUUAUUGAUCUGCAACAUUUGUGAAAAAAAGCAAAGAAGGGCCAGUACUUUUUCAUGGCACUGUAUUUAUUUAGUUUCAUAUAAAAAAUCUCUAAACCUUAAUACAGCAUAUAAUCAUGUCAUUAAAAACCCCAUAUGGGCCUCCAGGCAGUGAGUGUUUUAUAGUUUCUACUAUCUAAAGCAAAGCUCCCAUUAAACCCUGCAUUUGCUUUUUUUUUUACUACUGAAUGUGGAACUGUAUCUCUGUGCAAAAUCAGCUCUGCCAUUCUCAUAAAAACCAAACAGCAUAGACAUUGUAUGCAGUGAUGCAGAAAAUAACUAUGGAAUAUUUACAGCCACUGUACUGCAGAUUUCAACUUUUGAUUUGUGAUAGUCAUUACAGGUUCAAGAAAACAUUUUUCUUUCAACAUGUCAUUACACAGAUGAAUCAUUACACCAUUCACUGGCUAUUUGAUGAACAGCUGAGAAAUUGUCACCCCGCUGUUUAAUCUGUAAAACAAAAUUACUUGGAACACUUACUUUGCACAGCAAUCAAUCUGUUUUAGUCUAUUUUUUAUCAACUUCUUUUAAUAUAACUUUUUUUUUUUUGUUAAGAUAUGGUUGUCUACGUUUCCAUUUACAAUUAAAGACAAUAACUCUAUAUUUAAAAGUGUGCUUUAAAUGUGCCAGUAAAGUUCUAUCAUACUCGUU